rnacentral:rRNA from 1 species
ACGGCCGUACCAUGCUGAAAUAUACCGGUUCUCGUAAGAUCACCGAAGUCAAGCAUCAGUGGGCGCGGUCAGUACUUGGGUGGGUGACCACCUGGGAACACCGCGUGCCGUU